rnacentral:rRNA from 1 species
CCUACGGGAGGCAGCAGUGAGGAAUAUUGGUCAAUGGGCGCUAGCCUGAACCAGCCAAGUAGCGUGAAGGAUGACUGCCCUAUGGGUUGUAAACUUCUUUUAUAUGGGAAUAAAGUGCAGUAUGUAUACUGCUUUGCAUGUACCUUAUGAAUAAGGAUCGGCUAACUCCGUGCCAGCAGCCGCGGUAAUACGGAGGAUCCGAGCGUUAUCCGGAUUUAUUGGGUUUAAAGGGAGCGUAGGCGGGUUGUUAAGUCAGUUGUGAAAGUUUGCGGCUCAACCGUAAAAUUGCAGUUGAUACUGGCAUCCUUGAGUACAGUAGAGGUAGGCGGAAUUCGUGGUGUAGCGGUGAAAUGCUUAGAUAUCACGAAGAACGCCGAUGGCGAAGGCAGCCUGCUGGACUGUAACUGACGCUGAUGCUCGAAAGUGUGGGUAGCAAACAGGAUUAGAUACCCGAGUAGUC